GAAAACUCACUCAACUAACCAAUCCAAAACCGAUUCCUUAUUUUUAACUUUUUACCAAACCAUCGCUUACCUUAUCUCUUCCCCUUUUUACGAUUCUUGUUAAUCUUCUUCAAAACUGAUGAACCCUAAUUUCUUUCUCCAGCGACAUCUUCUAGAUCCAAAAAGCAUAAUCUGAAAUUGGACCCAAAUCUAACCUUCCCAAACCAUCGUCUCUUUGAUUUGUUGUUUCUCCUCACCGAAUUCGGGUAUGUGAUUCGCGUUAUCAUCGUCUUGCACUUAGUCUCUCGACCUCGAAGUUCUGGAUUUUUGCGGUUCUAGCGUUUCACAUAUAAACUCCAAAUGGAAGGUUAGAUCCGGCUUCUUAGACUUCUUGAUUCCCUCUUCCCACAGAUAAACUAAUUGAUUCCCUCUUCCCACAGAUAAACAAGCCAGAUUAGAACAAGACCUGAUCCAACUAAAGCAAGAACUUCUUGACAUGAAGAAAGAUAUCAGCGAGAUUGUUGAGGUUUUAGAGUGUAUUAAAUCUUAGAUCUAGAUCUGGUUCUGAAUCCAUAUCCCAUAAUCUUGUUGUAAACUUUGCUACCCAUCUACUAUGAAAAAAUAUUAGUUAUUGCUUGCCCCAAUCUUGUAUUAAACAUUGCCACCCAUCUACUAUGCAGCACCUAACGACAAACGAGAUAUGAUCCAACAUCAACCUUUAUACCACAACCACAACAUCCACACCGGCGUAUCCACUGGUAUCAAAAAUGGUUUCACCAUCUCCUUCAGACAUUACUGCUUUUCAUCCGGACCACAACCUCUCUAAUCACAACACAACUUCUGUUCAUCAACAACAACACCCGUGUAGCCACCAAUUCAAAUUUUAAGUUCGCCUUGUCCAGGAACACAACAAUAAACAUUACUAUCAGCUUCCCACACAUAUCAACCCCUACCAACAAAUUACCUUCACACAUCAGAGUUGUUCACCAUGACCACUAUCUCUCUAACCACAACAAGCCUUUGUUACCACACAACCCCGCACAGCUCAUAAUCUAUUUUCAGAUUUCUAGCUAUGAUAACCAAAGUAAAUAGGAUUAAUACCCACCUGAUUCACAAACCUAACAUCCAAUUCCCUAUGACCUUCACAAACCUAAAUGUGGAUGCUAUUUUAAAUACACAAACCAACUACAAACAUAUCAUCCACAACCAAUAAAAAAUCAACCCUUAAACCACAGCCACAACAUCCAUACCGACGUAUUCACAAGUAUAAAAAAUAGUUUCACCAUCUCCUUCACACAUAAUUGUUGCUCAACCUGGCCACAACCUCUCUAACAACAAUACAACUUCGGGGUAUCAACAACAACACUCGUGUAGCCACAAAUACAAAUCUUUAGUUCACCUUCUCCAGAAACACAACAAAAAAUAAUACUCUCAUCUUCCCACAAAUAUCAACAGCUACCAACAAAUUACCUUCACACAUCAGUGGUGUCCACCAUGACCACUACCUCACUAACCACAACAAGCCUUUGUUACUACACAACCCCUCACAGCUCAUAAUGUAAUCCAGAUUUCUAGCUAUAAAAAUCAAAGUCAAUAGGAAUAAUACCUACCUUAUUCACAUACCUAACAUCCAAUUCCCUAUGACCUCCACAAUCCUAUAUGUGGUUGCUAUUUUAAUUAAACAAACCAACCACAAACAUAUCAUCCACAGCCAAUACAACAUCAAGUUACAUCAACAAGGUCCAACUACCAUCCCACUGGCAGCACUCAGCUAAAUGAAACACUAUGAGAUUAAGAACCAUCCAAACCACAGAGCCGCACCCACAAAUUCAUUCAUAAUACGAUCACUUCAAACACCUCAUUCCACUCAAAGGUCUUAUGUUAAACAACGCUCCAAACCACAACCACACAUCCACCAGAUCAUCCAUACAAUGUACAAACAAUUCAAAUGACGGUUCAGCCCACUGAGCCAGAACACAAUACCAUAUGCAACAUACUAACCAAACCAACAUGGAUACCACAAACAUCAGACUUACUUUCCAAAAACAAAAAACUCUUUGACCACGCGUAACCAAACCACUACUUAAAAUCCAUAUUGCUAAUUCAUAAAUCAUAACCAAAGCGUUCUUGUUCACACCAUCGGUGGCAUUAACAUCUCUAUUACAAAAAUACAAAAACAAUUACUCCUUGAGGUCACACAGGUUCAAUACAAAAAAAUAUUAUCUCCACACCUCAUUACAAUACCCAUUCA
rnacentral:lncRNA from 1 species